AUGCUUCUUCUUUCUGUAUGGAGCUGGGAGCGUCUGCCUAUUGGACGCCCUAAGAGCAUAAAUUUUAAUCCUUGGGAUGAAGAUGACGAAUUACGGCGCCCCACUUGGGCUUACAAGUGGGAUGUGGUAUCCGAGAUGACGAACUAUGUCAAUCUCAUGUACCAAAAGUACAUUGCCGAGUUGGACACGAUUACGCCUGAGCAGGUAACGAGGAUAUUACUUCAGUCAUUUGUCAUGCUUGCCUGA
rnacentral:rRNA from 1 species